rnacentral:rRNA from 1 species
GGGAGGCUGCAGUAAGGAAUAUUGGUCAAUGGACGCAAGUCUGAACCAGCCAUGCCGCGUGAAGGAUUAAGGCCCUCUGGGUUGUAGACUUCUUUUAUAUGGGAAGAAAUGUACCGAUUCUUCGGUACUUGACGGUACUAUAGGAAUAAGCACCGGCUAACUCCGUGCCAGCAGCCGCGGUAAUACGGAGGGUGCAAGCGUUAUCCGGAUUCACUGGGUUUAAAGGGUGCGUAGGCGGGCAGAACAGUCAGUGGUGAAAUCUCCGAGCUUAACUCGGAAACUGCCGUUGAUACUAUUUGUCUUGAAUAUUGUGGAGGUAAGCGGAAUAUGUCAUGUAGCGGUGAAAUGCAUAGAUAUGACAUGGAACACCAAUUGCGAAGGCAGCUUACUACACAACGAUUGACGCUGAGGCACGAAAGCGUGGGUAGCGAACAGGAUUAGAUACCCUGGUAGUCCACGCCCUAAACGAUGAUUACUCGACAUACGCGAUACACAGUGUGUGUCUCAAGCGAAAGCAUUAAGUAAUCCUACCUGGGAAGUACGA